UGUGAAAAAGGUGGGAUCUUUCCGUCGGCUUUCGCGGCUGGCUAUAUGCAUCAUAGAGCAUCUAAUCUGCAUCAACUUCAGACAUGGUGUGGAGCGUCGACCACGGCGAGCUUGGCUAAUGUCAACACGUGAAGCUGGGUCAAGUACAGAAGACGAAACACAAGAUUCAAGAUCACUCUCAUGCUUCAGUUAGCUGAGAGAGCUAAGAGAUAAUAUGGUAAACAAUUUCUAUCAAGUGGGUGAGCUCCAUUUUUCAAGGUAAGUCAGGUGACAGCCAAAAAAAACAAGGAGAUGAGUCUCUUAUCAGUUGAUUUGAUCUUAUCCAGGUUCUAUUUUCUUUCAGGCCAUGAGUUACAAUGUCUUGGUUAGAGCUACUACAUUCAAAGAGUAAAUCUGUUUCGUUGUACUGAAUUUAUGUACAUUGUAUGAAAAAGGUGCAUCUAUUAUGCCCUGUAGAAUUUUCAGCUGAGCAAUUGUUUAGACUUACAAAGCUAUCAUGACAGAUGUUAGUGAUUUCUGUAUUGGAGCCAUGUUACAUCUCUAGGGUUGAAUUAAUGGCUAGAAAUUCAGAGUUACAUAGCUGAAAAAGGGUUGCUUGAAGCAAACAAGCUGCUUAUUCAGUAUUUUUAACACUCAUGGAAAAGGUAUAUGCUCAUCCUAAAUUCCAAAUUAUUAUUAUAUCACAUAACUGAAAGUGCAUUAGACCAAUGGUGUUAUCAGAAAUAAAUUUCUGCCCCAUAGUUGAACCGUGUCUUUUCUCAGUGUGUAUAUAUGUUAAGGAUGUGUAUGAUUAA